rnacentral:rRNA from 1 species
GAGUUUGAUCUUGGCUCAGAUUGAACGCUGGCGGCAUGCCUUACACAUGCAAGUCGAACGGCAGCACGGGAGCUUGCUCCUGGUGGCGAGUGGCGAACGGGUGAGUAAUGCAUCGGAACGUAUCCUGGAGUGGGGGACAACGUAGCGAAAGUUACGCUAAUACCGCAUAUUCUGUGAGCAGGAAAGCGGGGGACCUUCGGGCCUCGCGCUCUUGGAGCGGCCGAUGUCGGAUUAGCUAGUUGGUGAGGUAAAGGCUCACCAAGGCGACGAUCCGUAGCAGGUCUGAGAGGAUGAUCUGCCACACUGGAACUGAGACACGGUCCAGACUCCUACGGGAGGCAGCAGUGGGGAAUUUUGGACAAUGGGGGCAACCCUGAUCCAGCCAUGCCGCGUGAGUGAAGAAGGCCU